UACGUAGGGGGCAAGCGUUGUCCGGAAUCAUUGGGCGUAAAGAGCGUGUAGGCGGCUCGGUAAGUCUGCUGUGAAAGCCCAGGGCUCAACCCUGGAAGGCCGGUGGAAACUGUCGGGCUAGAGUCCGGAAGAGGCGAGUGGAAUUCCCGGUGUAGCGGUGAAAUGCGCAGAUAUCGGGAGGAACACCAAUGGCGAAGGCAGCUCGCUGGGACGGUACUGACGCUGAGGCGCGAAAGCGUGGGGAGCAAACAGG
rnacentral:rRNA from 1 species